UCAAACCGAAAAUUUCUUUACUAAUUUGGAACAUUUUUCUAAAUUCUGCUUGAGCUUUAUAAAAAGCCCCUCGAUGGCAACAGCAGCCAGCUUAGUGGAAACAAAUUGAAUUAGUUGCAAGUCCACUAAUGUGGCUGACAACAAUAACGUGACUUGGGUGCACAAUUUAGGCAAAUAAAGUGGUAAAUUAGCUCUGACCAGCUGUUGAUUAGGUGACCAAAUACCGGCGGUUGCUUGUUUGCUAAUUAAACUGCAUUGCUACAAUCUGUACUAUAAAAUAGCAGAGAAAUGUAUUUCUUUGAUUUUAAGCCAGAAAGACUCACGUUCAACAAACAUGUCAACUAACUGAGCUAACUACCAUGACAUAUAAAAUUUACCCCAUUUGCAUUCUGUAGACUUCGAAAAGGAUAUCAUGUCAUCGUUACAGAAAUCGAAUUCUUUUUUACUCCGCAAAUUGACAAUGGAAGCGAACUUUGGCUACCCGAGUUUAAUCAGGCACUUUUGCCGUACAGGACACGUACACGGAUGCAGCGCAGUGAAACAAAACGGAAUCCUUGCAAUUUGUCGUCUAAACAAUAAACCAAAUACUCGUAGAAGCCAGCAAAAAGCAAAUCAGCAAAAAUCGAGCUACAGCAACGUGCAGAUAUCAAAUCCGGACCGAGGCACUUCUGCGGUGUAGCCAAAUAGUAGACAAAUGCGACCACCAUGCGGAAUGGUCUACAGGCGAGGCGAGCUGGGUUAACGUUGUGUGCACUUUGGUUAAAAUGCACUUAAGAGGAACGACAGAGUUUUUGGAGCUGCUCUUCAAAAAGUUUCAAUAUGGAAAUCAUCAACUUGAACGAAAGUAUGUCAACAUGCAAUUAAAAACUGUCCGCCGGCAAUCAAGUGUCGCUUCUGUUGAAAUCUCUAACUUAAUUAAAAUUGAACAGUAUAAUGCCAGUCAAAAGACAUAUACAUUGAAUAUUGGAUCUUAUUAGCUGGCAGGCAACUCCAAUGCGAAUUUACACUUUACUCGAUUGCCGGCGUGCCAGACCAACAACAACCGGAAACAUAGUGAACACCACAGACACACCAACGUAAAUGUGGCUACGUGUCGGUUUCAAUGAAAUGAAAAUAUAAAAUAUGCAUUUACUGCAGCCCGCCUCCAGUUACAGAUAGUUGCCACCGGCUGCUGUUGGUGCUGCUGCUGCCCGGAUAAGUAUGCUAUGGGCAACGUGCUCUGCGUUGGGGAAUUGUGUCGAAUGUCAUGUGCGCCCCCCAUUCAAAUGCCAGCUGCAAAGUCUGCGCAGUUACUGCCCAAAACUGUGAUCCUUAUAUUUACCACCCAGACAACUAACGGGCGAAAGCUGCAUUGUUCGGUAGCCGAGCAGCGCACUCCAUAAUAAAUGUAACGAGCGUAUUACAAACACUUAUGUAUGGCAACUUUAAAGUGCAGACAUCACUCGUACAAGCAUGAGCAUAACUACUUGCAUAUGUAUAUAUAUAUAUAUAUAUAUAUAUAUAUAUACCCUGCAGCUGUAGAGAUAGAUAAAGCUGUCAAAUAUGUAUAUCCAGCAGACAAAAAAUGCACCUCUCACCUGACACGAAAUAUACAUAUGUUCACAUUUUAUAUCUAUGUAA